CGAACGCUGGCGGCGUGCUUAACACAUGCAAGUCGCACGGAAAGGCCCUGCUUUUGUGGGGUGCUCGAGUGGCGAACGGGUGAGUAACACGUGAGUAACCUGCCCUUGACUUUGGGAUAACUUCAGGAAACUGGGGCUAAUACCGGAUAGGAGCUCCUGCUGCAUGGUGGGGGUUGGAAAGUUUCGGCGGUUGGGGAUGGACUCGCGGCUUAUCAGCUUGUUGGUGGGGUAGUGGCUUACCAAGGCUUUGACGGGUAGCCGGCCUGAGAGGGUGACCGGCCACAUUGGGACUGAGAUACGGCCCAGACUCCUACGGGAGGCAGCAGUGGGGAAUAUUGCACAAUGGGCGGAAGCCUGAUGCGGCAACGCCGCGUGCGGGAUGACGGCCUUCGGGUUGUAAACCGCUUUCGCCUGUGACGAAGCGUGAGUGACGGUAAUGGGUAAAGAAGCACCGGCUAACUACGCG
rnacentral:rRNA from 1 species